rnacentral:sRNA from 2 species
AUAUCUCUCUGUACGGGAAGGAUGAGAAGCUUCGACCAAGGUUCGAUUCGAGCGCAGCGAGAAAGCGUUGCCGCAGGCAACGACCCGAAG